rnacentral:rRNA from 1 species
GUGAGUAACACGUGGGUGAUCUGCCCUGCACUUCGGGAUAAGCCUGGGAAACUGGGUCUAAUACCGGAUAGGAACCGUCUUUAGUGUGGUGGUUGGAAAGUUUUUCGGUGCAAGAUGAGCUCGCGGCCUAUCAGCUUGUUGGUGGGGUAAUGGCCUACCAAGGCGACGACGGGUAGCCGGCCUGAGAGGGUGUACGGCCACAUUGGGACUGAGAUACGGCCCAG